rnacentral:rRNA from 1 species
UACGGGGGGGGCAAGCGUUGUCCGGAAUUAUUGGGCGUAAAGAGCUCGUAGGCGGUUUGUCGCGUCUGCUGUGAAAACUCGGGGCUUAACUCCGGGCCUGCAGUGGGUACGGGCAGACUAGAGUGCGGUAGGGGGGACUGGAAUUCCUGGUGUAGCGGUGAAAUGCGCAGAUAUCAGGAGGAACACCGGUGGCGAAGGCGGGUCUCUGGGCCGUAACUGACGCUGAGGAGCGAAAGCGUGGGGAGCGAACAGG